UCUAUUGACCACACAGACUUUAAUCCUUUUUUUCUCAUCUUAGGAGGAAACCUUCUGCACCAAGUGGCUGAAAGAACUGAAGAAAGGAAUAUCAGUUCCUUGAGAGUCCCAACAUUUAUUCUCAACUUGAGACUAGAUGGUAGGAUUCUUAUGGAUACUAGUUUUCCUUCAGUUUGUGAGGAGCAGCUGGAGGCCUGGAGCCAGUCUUUUUAAAACUAAACAUGCCCUGGGUAAAACGGCUUUGUGCGAGCCCUACAGUGUUCAAUGGGUUCUGGUGCCCCAGAUUGGAUGGUCUGAAUCUUCAUUCCUUCUUUUUUCAUUGCUGAGAGGGACAUGACUCUAGAGUCGUAGACAAAGAGAUGGAACUAUACAAGGCCAUGAAGAAGCAUAAGAUCAAUUGGAAGCCUUGAUUAGCCCCGGAGUACUGUUUGUAGGUGAUUGGUUUUAAGUAUUCUGUUUUUUAUUUUAUUUUUUAUUUUUUUAUUUUACAAGAAUGGUUUUUACAAACGUUCUAGUCUCAGUAGGGCAGUAGGGUACUAAUGUUACCGUAUGAAUUAUUUUGCAUUUUAAAUGACUAUAUGCGGCUGUUUUAAUUCCAUAUCGGUACAGUUUUUUCUUGUUAUUAUUUGGUAAAGAUGGCUAUUGGCUCAGUUGUAUUAUUUUGAAGUAAAUCUUAUUUUUUUGACAUUUUUCCUGCUGUUUGUGUUAAUUUCAUGUAACACGUAUUUUACAUGAUCGACAGAGAUUGAUGUUGUGGAUAAUUCUGCUGCUCAGUAUUGUCUAAUAUUUUAGAGCCAGUACUGGGGUCUGCAGUUUACUAAUCCAAGGACUUUUCCUUGUUUGUUGCUGCUUUGGGCACUUCUAUCUGGGGUUAUAUAAGUUUAUGCAAUGCUCAUGAUGUUUCUCAUGGAAAAAAGAAAAGGGUGAAAAUUUAUCUAUUUUGCAGCAGAGUUUUUGAAGGAAAAAGUGAAAAUUUAACUCUUAUCUUCUCACAUGUCAUGGCAUGCUGGGAAUAUGGGUAACUUUAGUAGACCAGGUCAAAAUGUAUAACAAUUCUUACAAAUGAAGUUGGGCUGGUCCUUUUUUGUCCUUCAAGCGGAGGUACAUCUAAUUUGAUAUGUUAAAUAUUUUAUAUUUUCAGAGCUUACAAGUUUUUGCCUCUGAGGUCUUAAAUGUUACUGGAGUUCCCUUUGAAAUGCGGAAAAUACUGCAUGCUGUUGCUCUGGUUUUGGAGUCUUGGAUGCUUGGCAAUCUUAGAACCAAAAUCAACAUUUAUAUUUUCAGAGCUUACAAGUUUUUACCUCUGGGGUCUUAAAUGUUACUGGAGUUCCCUUUGAAAUGCUGAAAAUACUGCAUGCUGUUGCUAUGGUUUUGGAGUCUUGGAUGCUUGGCAAUCUUAGAACCAAAAUCAACUCACAAACUUUUGGUGCAUAGUUUUUCCAUGAGCAAUUCUGCAAAGCAAGCAAUCGUGAUGUUUAAGAUGCUGAACACAAAACUGCAAAAACAUUUGGAUGCUCAGGUCAGUUCUUUCAAGUCUUUUUUGGGAAUGCAAUGUUCUUUUAUAAGCAUUCAAGAAUUUUGGACCAAAUCCCAUAUUGUAUUCCAAUUGACCUCUUGUGUAGCCACUCCCACAAGAAGGUCCAUUUUUCUUACCCUCAACUACCUCCCACGAUUUCAUUCUCGUAAUAAUGUGUACAAUUUCUUGGUCAUAUUCCUUCAGUUUAGCUCCACUCCACACGGUCAGCGUCAACUUUCCAUUUCAUAGAUGCAUUCUCAGCUUCUUUUUCUUUCACUCUGUUCUCAAAAUGGUUCUUUGGUGCCUUUCUCUGAACAGCUUCGUAACUGAUAGAAUUUGAAACUGCAAGCUUGGCUUCAGAGGGUAUUAACUAGGUUAUGUAUAUCCUCCUCCUCCCCCACCCUCUCUCUAUGUGCACACACAUACAGAGAGAGGGUGAAUAUAUAUUAGCUAGGUUAUGUAUAUAUAUAUAAGUAUAUAUAUAUAUAUAAUAUAGGUACACAUACAUGUACAUGUAUUUUCUGGCUUGGGCUUUUGUUGUUUUUUGCUGAAACAGAAGCCUGAAUGCUUUAUCUCUAGUAUAGAAAAUAUCAUAUGCUGUGGAAGUGGCUCUUAUGGGUUUCAUGAAGGACAUAUAACUGAAUGCAUUAGGUAGUGACUCUCUCCAAUGCUGUUAUUUAACUUGGAAGCUUGAAGUUAUUAAAUCAGUUGAAAGUUUACACCCCAUUUUUAUUAAAAUUUGUCAAAGGUGGUAUCAAAAGAUGUUCUUGCUUGGCUUCAUGAAAUAAAGGUGUUUUCUUGCCGUAUGAGGUCCCUUUUUCUUCAUAACAGCUUUUAGUCAUAUUCCAAGUAUACGAGGCCUUGAAGAAGCAUGAAACUUUUUCAAAUUUUUGGUACUGUUAGUGUAAUAGUGUGUAAGAAGGGUGGGGAGACAGUUAACUCGUCUCCUUUAUUGUUAGGCUUAUAGAGAUCUUUCACCUCUGCUUUGACAUAAUAUUGGUGCUUAUUGUUAUGCGGCUUAGACCUAGUUCAAUAGUGAUUUUGCUCUUUCACUGAAGAAACUGAACUAAUUAGACCGGGUAGUGGGCAGAGGUUGGAUAAUGGUAGAAUGGUGCCUCCUUUUUCAGUGUAGAAGUUGUUAAAGUGAAAUGUUGAUUUUUUUUAGGGUAAAGCUCGCACAGCUGUUUGCUGAGCUCUUGUUGAUAUUGUGCUCCCUAUCAAUGUCAACUGUUCAAUUAUAAUGCUUCUUGAUCAUCCUCUUCCAAUUGUAAACUUGUGAGAUGUUAAACAUCAAUUAUGUUACAGUGAUAUACUUCCCAUGUCAAGUUAGAGACAUGGAACUCGGAUAUUAUUGAACAAGUCAAUUAAGUAAGAAAAGUUGGGUUACUUCUCUGAUCAGUUAAAAGAGUUGAGGUUGUGUUUGGGUGUUUAUCUGUGCUGUUCUGCUUUCAUUUUGGUUUGGUCUCCAAUCUACUGUUUCCUAGUGGUUUGGUAGUGAUUGGUUUGACUAGUAAAUGAGCUUGUGAUUCAAAUAAAUCCACAAACAACAUUUGUUUGCUGUUUCAACUGAAAAUGUAUGUGUUUUUCCCUCAGGAUUUUUUCUUUUUUCUUUUUAUUCGUGUCUUAAUUGGUUGGGCAUAGUUCUUGGCUUCUCUAUAGGAUUUUGCGACAUAGAAGGAGGUUUAUGAAGAAGUUCUCCAUGUUGGUUCCGAAUUAUGAGCAUCCGGUGUUGAACCAAUGUCGGUGUAUGCAAAUCCAAUUUGAGAAGGAAAACUUCACUUGAUUUCAAGCCACAGUACAAGCUAAAUCGACCAAAAUAAUUCUUGAAAGCUUAAGCAUUGACAUAAUGGCAGUGCGAUGGAACAGGGCCCCAAAUUAUAUAUUUGUGUAAAAGGGCCCCAAUUGCAUGAAUGUUUUGUAGUUCAGUUGACACUGUACUUCUAAUUUCAACUAAUUGAUACAAGUUCAAUUCACAUUGCAUGUCAUUUGUUUUUUUUUUUUUUUUUUUUCCUGGGGCCCCUUUUCCUUCCUCUAUUUUCUUGUUUUUUUUUAUAAAUACUACAUUUAUCCCUUAUUCUUCUUUCAUUUAUUUUUGUACUACCCAAAAAAUUAUAUUUAUCUUCCUUUUCCUUCGUCCUUUUUUUUUUUGUUGAUAAUACAUUUAUCCUGGAUCAUUCUUUCAUUUUUUUUUUUUUUGGUAGUAUCGUAUUGUAUUGUAUUAAUCUUCGUUAAUAAUUCAGUUGUAGUUUUGCUUGUUUUAAUGGAAUUUUUGUUUACAAGUUUUAGUCCUCCAUUCUUUCAUUUUUGUUUUUUUUGUUUUUAAAGAAGUGGAAUAGUAAUAUAAGAUAUAUAAGAGGCCCAAAACAAAACAAACACUAAAAGAAAAAAAAAUUUAAUUGUAUUUAUAUUUGUAUAUAUAUAACAAAAAUUUUCAAUAAUAUAUUUAUGUAAGAUCGGGUAAAGAGGGCCGUAUUCUCAAUCUCGAACAAGGCCUCUAAAAAUUUUGAGACGGCUCUGAGUCUUGGCAUGAACCAAGAUUUAUAGAUUUAUUUCUUCAUGUAUAUAUGGUGGCUCAAGGAGAAGAUCUGGAAUGGUUUGGGACUUUGGGAUUCUUUGUUGGAGGCUUUUUUUUUUUUGACUUUGUCAAGGGUCUUUGUUGGAGGCUUAAUUUGGCAUGAUGGAAACUGUGUUGUACAUGAUGAUUAAACAAGUUUUGACAGUUGAAGCUUCAAUUGAUGCUGCUGCGGCUUGGAUGGAGCCAUCUGUUACUAUUUUGCAGUCGACAUCCACUUCUCAUUGCUGGAGUACAAAUUUGGGAAGUGAAUUAAAUCAACAAAAAUGUACAAGUCCUUCAAGUCUAUUUGUGACAUUAAAUACUGAUGGACCUAUCAAUCGACAACAAGGGCAUUUCUGGUACUGGUGCACUUGCGCAAUGAUGAACGUAACCCGACACCUAACGCUUGUGAAAUAUUGGCCAUUGUUGAUGGCCAUUAUUUCUGUUUACAAGCUGGUUUCGACGUGUUGAAAUAUAGAGUGAUUCUCCUAGAGCCCAUUUUGUGGCUAGAGUUGCUCUUUCCGUACCAUAUGCUACUUUUUGGAUUGGAAUUAUGCCUGUGUGGCUCAACUGAAUCUUAGAAGU